rnacentral:snoRNA from 1 species
AACCUAUGGUGAGGGCACCUCCGUAAUAAGUCCUUGUACCUCUCUCAUGCAUCAUAAAGAGUUUCUAGAUGCCAUCAAUACAAAAUAAGAGAUAUCAUUCCUUAAUUU